GGCUUUAUAUUCAACUGAUGAUUUUAGAUUGCAAAUCUAAAGGCGUGGAAUAAAAUGAAUUUUCACUAAAGCUU
rnacentral:tRNA from 1 species